rnacentral:sRNA from 1 species
GCUGGGUGUGGUGGUGCACGCCUGUAAUCCCAGCUACUCAGGAGGCUGAGGCAGGAGAAUCAGGAGUUCAAGGCCAGCCUGGCAUUGUUGUGAGACCCUGUCUCAA